UACGUAGGCAGCAAGCGUUGUUCGGAGUUACUGGGCGUAAAGGGUGUGUAGGCGGUUCUUUAAGUUUGCUGUGAAAUCUCCCGGCUUAACCGGGAGGGUGCGGUGAAUACUGAGGGACUAGAGUACGGGAGAGGAAAGUGGAAUUCCUGGUGUAGCGGUGAAAUGCGUAGAUAUCGAGAGGAACACCUGCGGCGAAGGCGGGUUGCUGGGCCGACACUGACGCUGAUGCGCGAAAGCCAGGGGAGCGAACGGG
rnacentral:rRNA from 1 species